rnacentral:lncRNA from 1 species
AGCACUUCUCAGCCCUUAACAUUUAGAGCCAUAUAUUAGCUGUAUUUGUUCUUCUUUUUCUCUUUUUGAGAAGGUGGUGGAGGUGAUGAUGGUGGUAUUGGCGAUGAUGUUGGAGGCAGUGGCUACAGUGGAGGCUGUAGAGGGUAUGAUGUCGGCGGUGGCUGAGGUUGUGGAGGCAGCAGUGGUUGGCGGUGCUGUUGGAAGUGAUGGUGAUCAUGGGGGUGGUGGGGGUGGAGGUGGUUGUAUGGGACACCUCUGAGAAACAUCGUGCCCUUGGCUGGAGGACGGGUUUCAGGGCUGCAGGAGUUGCUGCUCCCCCUCCUGGAGGCCAUUUGAUACGACGCCGUAUCUGAUCUGUUCCUUCGCAAAGCUGAUCAUCCGAUUAAUUCACCGCAGGAAGACAGUAUCAGUUGAGCAGCAGAGAAUCCUAUGACCAAGAUUUAUUGCACGGUGUUGGCUCACGUGAUUAUGGAGGAUGGGAAGACCCAGGAUCUGCUGUCUGCAAGCUGGAGACCCAGGAGAGCCUGUGGUGUAGACUCUAAGGUUUAUGAGGAUUAAGUGAGACGAUGGGUGCAGAGCGCCGAGGCCGGGGUCUGCUCAGGACCUUCUGCAUGCUUGGCUGGCAGAAGCUCUUAGCAAAUAUCAAGCUACGCACUGUUCCUGAAGAAGUUGGUGCUGAAGCAAACGCACAGUGUACACCUGUCUUUUUCCAUCACCAGGAGUGAGAAGCAAUUCUUGUCACUCUGACGUGAAGGAUGUGUCUGCCUGCGGCACCUUCGCUGCUCCCGUGAGCCGUGUGAGUUGAGUGAGUGAUGAGAUGGAGAAAGUGGCGUUCUCGUAACAGCUGGUCCUAGAAUUCCUUUGUAAUGGGAGUGAAACUCAGCACAUCGACUCAACUGUGAAAGAAAUAUAAACUUUAUUUUCAUAUGAUGUUGAUUUU